AAAAGGUGACAAUCACUCGAUUUUAUUAAAAAAUUUGCUACCGCACCAAGUCUCCUAUUUGUUUCAUAUUUGUUUGCUUAGCAAAAUUUCCGAGAGGACGACAGCAAUUGAUAAUUUGAUUUCGAGUGAAGCUCAGCAACCGGAGUCGACAGCCGAAGAGAGAGCACAGCAGAUCAAUCAUGGAAUUUCAGGGCUCCUCCAAGAAGAUGAUAGCCACCCAGGCUGAGAUGGUCGAGGCUAGGGUUCCAAUUCCUUACAGAGAUCAGUGCGCUCACUUGCUGAUCCCUCUUAAUAAAUGUCGCCAAUCCGAGUUCUACCUCCCAUGGAAAUGCGAAGACGAGCGCCAUUCCUACGAGAAGUGUGAAUAUGAGCUGGUUAUGGAGAGGAUGCUUCAGAUGCAAAAGAUCCGUGAGGAACAGGCCAAGUUGAAGGAGGGUAUUCAUCUCAUUCCCAAACCUGCCAAUGUAUGACCUCAUUCUUCAAUUAGGCAGCACUUCUAGCUCUGAGCUCAAAUUGGAGUAUUUUCUAACAUCUGACAGGAAGCAUUAAAUUGCUGAGAUAUGUGAAGGUUCAUCCUUUUCCGGCAAGAGCAAUGGGAAGGCAUUUGAUACUGUUUGGUCGAUUGAAAAAACUCAAUAGUUUUCCGAGCUUUUUAAAUCUGGUCAGAAUCCUUGAUUCGGGAUUUGGAAUAAAGUUACCCCUUAAGCAAAGAAGUGUAAACUUCAUCCUUUGUUUUCUUUGAUUAAAUAACGUUUAUGUCGAUGUGUACUAUUAUCCUGAAUAUCAUUUUGCUUUGUGGACUUUGCCAAAAUGUCUCGAAUUUUGGAUA